GCUCGAGUGGCGAACGGGUGAGUAACACGUGAGUAACCUGCCCUUGACUUUGGGAUAACUUCAGGAAACUGGGGCUAAUACCGGAUAGGAGCUCCUGCUGCAUGGUGGGGGUUGGAAAGUUUCGGCGGUUGGGGGUGGACUCGCGGCUUAUCAGCUUGUUGGUGGGGUAGUGGCUUACCAAGGCUUUGACGGGUAGCCGGCCUGAGAGGGUGACCGGCCACAUUGGGACUGAGAUACGGCCCAG
rnacentral:rRNA from 1 species